CUGACAUCUAAACAGCGCCUCCAGUUUUACCUUUCGAACACUCCGGAGCCAAUGCAUGAACCGAAGCGGAAGCAACGACGUAAAGACGACACGUCGACCCAGCGGCACACGGUACCUGCAAAUGCUGCCCCUGCAGAAAACAUUGAUAUCGCUGAACCCGAAUUAGAAGUACCGGCCGACCUACUCCUACAACCUGACCCAUUGCCAGAGGUUCUUCCUUUGCAACCACCGCUAAAUGAGGAACAGGCUGUACCCGUAGUCGAUUCACCUGCCGCCAACCCUCCAAACGAACACGUACCUGGACAGAUGCCCCGCUCCACCCGAUUUUGGAGUUCCGGAAGGAUGGGUGCGGGGCUGGCGACACUUCUUCAGCUGACAACGAUGGUGGCGCCAAUUUCAUUGACCCGGCUUUUUGUGGAUCAUGGCUAUACAGCGGACUACGUCGCAGUGGGCAAUAUUCACACCCUCGAUAACCCGACGGAGUUGGUCCUCCUUAACUCAGCCAAGGAGAAUCUGCUCUACCCAAGCUACGGCUCACCUCCGAUGGCUCUAGCUUUACAGGUGAUCAGUGACUUGGGCGGAGUCCAAGAUUCCCUUUGGCGGGAGAAAAUCCGAAAAAGGGUCCAUUCCCAAUUAUAUCGCCGCCUUGGAAAGUGCCGAAGCAAGAGGACGUUGUGUGUCCGAGUAGACCAAAGAAUUCUAUCGAAUUUCACGGAUUAUGGGGUGAGUUUGGGCUCAACUGCAAUUGCUCUCCUUCUUGGAAUCAUAGAGGCAAUUAACCGGUGCACCGCCACGAAAGCAUCGAUCCACAUAUUUCUACAUUAGGCAGGUUGGAGAGGGCUAAACGCCUGAAUGGAGGCAUCGUUGCAUUGACCGCGGUGCAGGAGGAAUGCAUGCAGCUUUUGGAG
rnacentral:lncRNA from 1 species